rnacentral:lncRNA from 1 species
CACCACCACUACCACUAUUGCCACCAACAUUUUUUUUUAUUCUUAUAUAAUUGCAUUAUUGGUGUCACAAAUUUUUUAUUUUUUUCAGUACUAUAAACUCCAUUAAAAUCAAUAAUAAAAGUCUAACAAACUCAACUAAAAUAUAUGCAUGAAUUCAGUCAAAAUCUAUGUACAGUUUGUGAAAUUUAGUCAAACUCAAUUAAAUUCAAUUAAACUCCAUCAACUUUAUAACUCAUUUAAAA